GGGGAUUUAGCUCAGUGGUAGAGCGCUUGCCUAGUAAGUGCAAGGCCCUGGGUUCGGUUCCCAGCUCCG
rfam:Rattus norvegicus chromosome 12, whole genome shotgun sequence.